GCGCCAGUGGUGUAGCCUGGUAUCACUUUGGCCUUCCAAGCCAGUAACUCGGGUUCAAAUCCCGACUGGCGCACC
rnacentral:tRNA from 1 species